GCGGAUAUAGUUUAGUGGUAAAACCCUAGCCUUCCAAGCUAACGAUGCGGGUUCGAUUCCCGCUAUCCGCU
rnacentral:tRNA from 52 species